AUUGAACGCUGGCGGCAUGCUUUACACAUGCAAGUCGAACGGCAGCGCGGGCUUCGGCCUGGCGGCGAGUGGCGCACGGGUGAGUAAUGCAUCGGAACGUGCCCAGUAGUGGGGGAUAGCCCGGCGAAAGCCGGAUUAAUACCGCAUACGACCUGCGGGUGAAAGCGGGGGGCCGAAAGGCCUCGCGCUAUUGGAGCGGCCGAUGUCGGAUUAGCUAGUUGGUGGGGUAAAGGCUUACCAAGGCGACGAUCCGUAGCUGGUCUGAGAGGACGACCAGCCACACUGGGACUGAGACACGGCCCAGACUCCUACGGGAGGCAGCAGUGGGGAAUUUUGGACAAUGGGGGCAACCCUGAUCCAGCCAGGCCGCGUGCGGGAAGAAGGCCUUCGGGUUGUAAACCGCUUUUGUUCGGGAAGAAAUCCUCUGGGCUAAUACCCCGGGGGGAUGACGGUACCGGAAGAAUAAGCACCGGCUAACUACGUG
rnacentral:rRNA from 1 species